rnacentral:rRNA from 1 species
UACGGGGGGAGCAAGCGUUGUUCGGAUUUACUGGGCGUAAAGGGCGCGUAGGCGGCCAGCACAAGUCAGUUGUGAAAUCUCCGAGCUUAACUCGGAAAGGUCAACUGAUACUGUGCGACUAGAGUGCAGAAGGGGCAACUGGAAUUCUCGGUGUAGCGGUGAAAUGCGUAGAUAUCGAGAGGAACACCUGCGGCGAAGGCGGGUUGCUGGGCUGACACUGACGCUGAUGCGCGAAAGCCAGGGGAGCGAACGGG